UACGGGGGGAGCAAGCGUUGUUCGGAUUUACUGGGCGUAAAGGGCGCGUAGGCGGCAAUUCAAGUCAGUUGUGAAAUCUCCGAGCUUAACUCGGAACGGUCAACUGAUACUGUUUUGCUAGAGUACAGAAGGGGCAAUCGGAAUUCUUGGUGUAGCGGUGAAAUGCGUAGAUAUCAAGAGGAACACCUGAGGUGAAGACGGGUUGCUGGGCUGAUACUGACGCUGAGGCGCGAAAGCUAGGGUAGCAAACGGG
rnacentral:rRNA from 1 species